GCUAUUUGGUUGAUGUGAAGUGAAAAGUGUGAUAAAGUGAAAGUGAAGUAAGUGCAUAAAGUGAAAUUAAAUUGUGGGAAAAAAGUGUUUUCAAAUAUAAUUGGAGCGGAUGCUUUUACAAAAUGGGUGCCACAUGCGAGCGUGUUUGCUGAUAACCCCGCGCACAGCGAUUGCACGUCAGUCCGGUCACGCCUUCUUUGCAAGGGCACUGACCGCUCAAAUGAUUGCAAGUUUUGCCGGUAGAGCCAACAGGAUGACAGUCGCAGCCUGAAAUUAAAUAAAAAGUAGUGAAAAGAAUGAUUAUUAAGUUCGUUAAACAUCUUCAAUAUGAAAAAAUUCCCCAGGAUCAUCAUGAAAAUACGGAAGCAAAGGAUGACAUUUAAGGAAUUAAGGAAUUUAAGGAAAGUUGCAAAAAGUAACUUUAGACUGGAUGGUCGUUGGGAUUGAAUACUGAAAAUACAACUGGAAAGGAUUGUGAAUCGUGCGAAUCCAAUUAACGACAGCCACAGGGAAUACAUAAAAUAUUUGCUCCAAGCUUAAAAGCACUUUAAUAAUAAAAUUAUAAUAAUAUUAUUUCUUUAUAAAUCAUGAUUCUUUAUAAAUUAUUUAUAAGUUAUUAUUAUUAUUAGUAAUAUUAUUCAAGCCAAUCAUUUGUUAAGUCCGAUUGCCGCCAACUAUGCACAAAUUUAUUAAGUUCUGUAAGAAAUUAUAAAUAGCUAUAUGAUAAAAAAC